CUGUGAUGGUUGGACUCCACAGUCCAGCCGAAAGCGCGUUUGGGCGUCUCGCUCACGCGUCCACCACAACCCACCCCUCCUAGCUCGCAAUAUUUGUCGUUUUAGAUCGGCAACCAGUCACAGUCGUGCUGCGUCACUCAAUCUGUCUCUGUCUCUCUCUCUCUCUCUCGUUCCUCUUCUUGGCCUCUGAGGCGGAUCGCAUAUUGCCCGCUAACCCCUCGUUGGAUUUCUGAUCGUUUCUUCGUUGGUCGCACCGGCACGACUUCAGGCAGCUUAGACCUUCUUGACAGAUGGUUCUUGAUUCACUAUCAUCUCCUCAUAGGAGAUCACAGAACACAGUUUUCCUGGCAUCCCCGUCCAAGAAGCAGCAGUCGGGCUUCAAUGAGCCUGGUAGUUGGUCCACUAUUUAUGAGCGGCACAGGUUUCUCUUGAUGAUGCUAGCUCUAUUGGCAUUCCUAUGCACCAUCUAUUUGUACUUUGCAGUUACUUUGGGAGCCACAGGUUCAUGCUCAGGAAUGUCAGGAGCUGAGAAAGCACUUUGCCAGGCCAAAUCUUCAUUGCACAAGGGGAAAUUGAAAUUCUUUUGACCAGCAAGUGGUCUCGAGCAUCUAGAAAAGCAAUGCCUCUGGGAUUAAUGAUCAAUUCAUGACAAUUCAUAAACACUAUAUGAUAUGGGGGCAUUGCAUGUUUGGUUUCCUGCAGCAAAUUAUACGAUUUGUGGGUUGUGGGUUGUGGUUUACGGAUGAUAAAUGUGUAUUUGAUUUGAUGUGUUACCUGUUAUAAGGGUGUACUUGAUUUUUUGAACAUGUAAUCCUUAGAUGAUUACUGUCUUAGUUUCUGUUUCUCUGUUCAUUAGAAAUUUACAGUCUUCAGUCAUUAGUUGAAGAUCAUUGUUAACAUUGCCCCAUCAUUCAUAUCAGUACAAUAUUGUUUACAAGACAUCGGUUGUCAACUUUAGAAAGGGAA